rnacentral:rRNA from 1 species
AUUGAACGCUGGCGGCAUGCUUUACACAUGCAAGUCGAACGGUAACAGGGUGCUUGCACCGCUGACGAGUGGCGAACGGGUGAGUAAUGCGUCGGAACGUGCCGAGUAGUGGGGGAUAACGCAGCGAAAGUUGUGCUAAUACCGCAUACGUACUGAGGUAGAAAGUGGGGGACCUUCGGGCCUCACGCUAUUCGAGCGGCCGACGUCUGAUUAGCUAGUAGGUGAGGUAAAGGCUCACCUAGGCGACGAUCAGUAGCGGGUCUGAGAGGAUGGUCCGCCACAGUGGUACUGAGAACCGGCCCAGACUCCUACGGGAGGCAGCAGUGGGGAAUUUUGGGCAAUGGGGGAAAGCCUGAUCCAGCCAUGCCGCGUGUCUGAAGAAGGCCUUCGGGUUGUAAAGGACUUUUGUCGGGGAGGAAAUCCCCAGCGCUAAUACCGCUGGGGGAUGACAGUACCUGAAGAAUAAGCACCGGCUAACUACGUGCCAGCCGCCGCCGUAAUAC